rnacentral:lncRNA from 1 species
AUGGCCAAGAGGCACCUCUUGUUGGUGACAACUUGUUUGUGGGCUCUGUCAUGUGCCUUGCUGCUUCAUGCUUCCUCUGAUGGGUUCCUGAGAGUCAACCUCAACAAGAAGAGAUUGGACAAGGAAGAUCUCACUGCCGCCAAGUUGGCGCAGCAGGGCAACCGUCUUCUGAAGACCGGCAGUUCAGACAGUGAUCCUGUCCCUCUGGUGGACUACCUCAACACCCAGUACUAUGGGGUGAUUGGCCUCGGCUCACCGCCGC